CCAGACUCCUACGGGAGGCAGCAGUGAGGAAUAUUGGUCAAUGGGCGGGAGCCUGAACCAGCCAAGUCGCGUGAGGGAAGACGGUCCUACGGAUUGUAAACCUCUUUUGCCGGGGAGCAACGGGGUCCUUGCGAGGGCCCGAUGAGAGUACCCGGAGAAAAAGCAUCGGCUAAAUACGUGCCAGCAGCCGCGGUAAUACGUAUGGAGCAAGCGUUAUCCGGAUUUACUGGGUGUAAAGGGAGCGCAGGCGGCGCGCCAAGUCUGGUGUGAAACCCCGGGGCUCAACCCCGGGACUGCAUUGGAAACUGGCGGGCUGGAGUGUCGGAGGGGCAGGCGGAAUUCCUGGUGUAGCGGUGAAAUGCGUAGAUAUCAGGAGGAACACCGGUGGCGAAGGCGGCCUGCUGGACGACAACUGACGCUGAGGCUCGAAAGUGCGGGUAUCAAACAGGAUUAGAUACCCCGGUAAU
rnacentral:rRNA from 1 species